UACGGAGGGUGCAAGCGUUAUCCGGAUUUACUGGGUUUAAAGGGUGUGUAGGCGGGCUUUUAAGUCAGUGGUGAAAUCUCCGGGCUCAACCUGGAAACUGCCAUUGAUACUAUUAGUCUUGAAUUUUGUUGAGGUAGGCGGAAUAAGUCAUGUAGCGGUGAAAUGCGUAGAUAUCGGGAGGAACACCUGUGGCGAAAGCGGCUCACUGGACCGCAACUGACGCUGAGGCGCGAAAGCUAGGGGAGCAAACAGG
rnacentral:rRNA from 1 species